rnacentral:rRNA from 1 species
GACAGAGGGUGCAAACGUUGUUCGGAAUUACUGGGCGUAAAGCGCGUGUAGGCUGUUUCGCAAGUCGGAUGUGAAAGCUCUGGGCUCAACCCAGGAAGUGCAUUCGAAACUGCAGAGCUGGAGUUCUGGAGAGGAAGGCGGAAUUCUCGGUGUAGAGGUGAAAUUCGUAGAUAUCGAGAGGAAUACCGGUGGCGAAGGCGGCCUUCUGGACAGUGACUGAUGUUGAGACGCGAAAGCGUGGGGAGCAAACAGG